rnacentral:rRNA from 1 species
GAUGAACGCUGGCGGCGUGCCUAAUACAUGCAAGUCGAGCGAACGGACGAGAAGCUUGCUUCUCUGAUGUUAGCGGCGGACGGGUGAGUAACACGUGGAUAACCUACCUAUAAGACUGGGAUAACUUCGGGAAACCGGAGCUAAUACCGGAUAAUAUUUUGAACCGCAUGGUUCAAAAGUGAAAGACGGUCUUGCUGUCACUUAUAGAUGGAUCCGCGCUGCAUUAGCUAGUUGGUAAGGUAACGGCUUACCAAGGCAACGAUGCAUAGCCGACCUGAGAGGGUGAUCGGCCACACUGGAACUGAGACACGGUCCAGACUCCGACGGGAGGCAGCAGUAGGGAAUCUUCCGCAAAGGGCGAAAGCCUGACGGAGCAACGCCGCGUGAGUGAUGAAGGUCUUCGGAUCGUAAAACUCUGUUAUUAGGGAAGAACAUAUGUGAAAGUAACUGUGCACAUCUUGACGGUACCUAAUCAGAAAGCCACGGCUAACUACGUG